UACGUAGGGUGCGAGCGUUGUCCGGAAUUAUUGGGCGUAAAGGGCUCGUAGGCGGUUUGUCGCGUCGGGAGUGAAAUCACUGGGCUUAACCGAGUGCUUGCUUUCGAUACGGGCAGACUUGAGGCAUUUGAGGGGGAGAACGGAAUUCCUGGUGUAGCGGUGAAAUGCGCAGAUAUCAGGAGGAACACCGGUGGCGAAGGCGGUUCUCUGGCAAUGUUCUGACGCUGAGGAGCGAAAGUGUGGGGGAGCGAACAGG
rnacentral:rRNA from 1 species